UACCAGCUCUCCGAGUGGUAGGGAUGAUUAUUGGGCUUAAAGCGUCCGUAGCCGGCUUAGCAAGUCUCCUGUUAAAUUCAGCGACCUAAUCGUUGAGCCGCGGGAGAUACUACUAGGCUAGGAGGCGGGAGAGGUCAACGGUACUUCCGGGGUAGGGGUGAAAUCCUAUAAUCCCGGGAGGACCACCAGUGGCGAAGGCUGUUGACUAGAACGCGCUCGACGGUGAGGGACGAAAGCUGGGGGAGCGAACCGGAUUAGAUACCCGGGUAGUCCCAGCUGUAAACGAUGCGAGCUAGGUGUUGGGGUGGCUACGUGCCGUUCUAGUGCCGCAGGGAAGCCGUUAAGCCUGCCGCCUGGGGAGUACGGCCGCAAGGCUGAAACUUAAAGGAAUUGGCGGGGAGCACCACAAGGGGUGAAGCUUGCGGUUU
rnacentral:rRNA from 1 species